GAUGAACGCUGGCGGCGUGCCUAAUACAUGCAAGUCGAGCGAACAGACGAGGAGCUUGCUGCUCUGACGUUAGCGGCAGGCGGGUGAGUAACACGUGGAUAACCUACCUAUCAGACUGGGAUAACUUCGGGACACCGGAGCUAAUCCCGUAUAAUAUCUUGAUCCGCAUUGUUCAAUAGUGAAAGUCGGCUUUGCUGUCACUUCUCGCUGGAUCCCCGCGGCUUUAGCUAGUUGUUAGGGUCACGGCUUACCAAGGCAACGAUGCGUGGCCGAGGUGAGAGGGUGGUCGGCCACCCUGGAACGUAGACACGGUCCAGACGCCUACGGGAGGCAGCAGUAGGGAACCUGCCGCAAUGGUCGGAAGCAUGACGGAGCAGCGCCGAGUGAGUGAUGAAGGUCUUCGGAGCGUAAAACUCUGUUAUUAGGGAAGAACAAAUGUGUAAGGAACUAUGCACGUAUUGACGGUACCGAAUCAGAAAGCCACGGCUAACUACGUG
rnacentral:rRNA from 1 species